rnacentral:rRNA from 1 species
CCUACGGGAGGCAGCAGUAGGGAAUCUUCCGCAAUGGACGAAAGUCUGACGGAGCAACGCCGCGUGAACGAUGAAGGCCUUCGGGUCGUAAAGUUCUGUUGUUAGGGAAGAACAAGUGCUAGUUGAAUAAGCUGGCACCUUGACGGUACCUAACCAGAAAGCCACGGCUAACUACGUGCCAGCAGCCGCGGUAAUACGUAGGUGGCAAGCGUUGUCCGGAAUUAUUGGGCGUAAAGCGCGCGCAGGCGGUUUCUUAAGUCUGAUGUGAAAGCCCCCGGCUCAACCGGGGAGGGUCAUUGGAAACUGGGAAACUUGAGUGCAGAAGAGGAAAGUGGAAUUCCAAGUGUAGCGGUGAAAUGCGUAGAGAUUUGGAGGAACACCAGUGGCGAAGGCGACUUUCUGGUCUGUAACUGACGCUGAGGCGCGAAAGCGUGGGGAGCAAACAGGAUUAGAUACCCUGGUAGUCCACGCUGUAAACGAUGAGUGCUAAGCGUUAGAGGGUUUUCCGCCCUUUAGUGCUGAAGUUAACGCAUUAAGCACUCCGCCUGGGGAUACGGUCGCAGACUGAAACUCAAAGGAUUGACGGCUUGNGNGNGCGAGACGACGACGAGGAGAGG